UGGGGAAUAUUGGACAAUGGGCGGAAGCCUGAUCCAGCCAUGCCGCGUGUGUGAAGAAGGCCUUUUGGUUGUAAAGCACUUUAAGCGAGGAGGAGGCUACUUGGAUUAAUACUCUAGGAUAGUGGACGUACUCGCAGAAUAAGCACCGGCCAACUUUGUGCCAGCAGCCGCCGUAAUUCAGAGGGUGCGAGCGUUAAUCGGUUUUACUGGGCGUUAAUCGUGCGUAGGCGGCUUCUUAAGUCGGAUGUGAAAUCCCUGAGCUUAACUUAGGAAUUGCAUUCGAUACUGGGAAGCUAGAGUAUGGGAGAGGAUGGUAGAAUUCCAGGUGUAGCAGUGAAAUGCGUAGAGAUCUGGAGGAAUACCGAUGGCGAAGGCAGCCAUCUGGCCUAAUACUGACGAUGAGGUACGAAAGCAUGGGGAGCAAACAGG
rnacentral:rRNA from 1 species